CUUUCAUUGUAUACACAUUAUUAGUAGCAAAUAAAAUUUUAAUGUACUAAACUUUAAUCAAUUCUACAAUAUAUCCUGUGUUAUACUCUAAUACACUCAAAUAAUUCAAGCUUUGAAAUUUAAAAAAAUAGUAACAGUUUUUAUUUGUGAAAUUAAAUAAAGAAAAAAAAAUCUAUACUAAUAAAUGGAGUUUUUUUGUUCGGUUAUACUGCGAAAACUACCAUAAGAUGCAGCGUGUUUCGGAGAAGGUUUUAGUAUAUGAUAUGUUGGUGAUUACUUACCCGGAACUUAUAUUUUUUUUUACUUAGAAAUAAUGAAUUUUUAUUGUAACUAAAUUUAUUCUAUUCGAUUGUCGUUUGUUUAAAAUAAAUUUUUUAAUUCUAUUGUUUAUAUUUAUUUAUCGAUUUGACAUUUGGUGAAUCGAGGACUGUCAAGAAUUAUUUAUAAUAAUGCAUUUGUGAAAUAUCAUUACUAUUCGUCGUCGGUACAUCAGGGCUAAUCAAUUAUAUGAUGCUGCCUCUAUGUUUUUACCAUACAAGUCACAAAAAUUACGAUAGUUGGAUUGUAAAUUUUUUGAAAAGGUAUAGUAUAUGCCAUCUGAAGCGUUUCCGUAUGAAAGACAAAUGUCACAAUACCAUGAUGUGAUGCUUGUGUGAGUAUGUAUAUAUAUAUAUAUACAAAUGAUGACGUCUACUUUGUCUGUAUUAUUUGUGGUUCAACUAUAUAUAUUUAUAAAUCAGUUCAUCUUUAUCCACAGUGUAGUGCAGAAAUAGAGGUUAUUUUUCAUGACGUUUUUUGGACAAUUGUAAAUAAGAAAUUUAAAAAAAAAACUGUGCUUUCUUCAUUACAAACCUACAUAGAUUAUGGAAUAUAAUAAUUUGGUGGUGAUAUUCUUCAUUUGUCGACCAUGAAUAAUUUUACCCGGCUUUGCGAGAGGUAAAACAUUUCAAUAACCUCAAAUUAUGGACAUUUAACGUUUCUAUAUGAUACUGAAGUUAGCAGACGCCUAAUAAUUUUUGGAUAUUUUUUAAAAUGAUAAAUUAUAGAAAAAAAGUAUUCGAAAAAAUUGCACCUAUGGUUUUUUUAAUUUUCUACAUGUGCGUAUUUUGAAUACAACGAAAUGAGUUAUUUAUUUAAAAGGAAAAAAUUAUAAUACUUUCGGAAUCUGAUGAGAAAUUAUAACUGAUAAAGUUAAAUUAAUUAAUAAUAAAUUUUAUAUGUACCAAAAAAAUAUAUUUGAAAAAU